AUUGAACGCUGGCGGCAGGCCUAACACAUGCAAGUCGAGCUAGCGGCGGACGGGUGAGUAAUGUCUGGGAAACUGCCUGAUGGAGGGGGAUAACUACUGGAAACGGUAGCUAAUACCGCAUACCAUCAGAUGUGUCCAGAUGGGAUUAGCUAGUAGGUGGGGUAACGGAUCACCUAGGCGACGAUCCCUAGCUGUUUUGAGUGGAUGACCAGCCAGACGGGGACGAAGACACGGUCCAAGCUCCUACGAGAAGGAGCAGUGGGGAAUAUUGCAAAAUGGGCGCAAGCCGGAUGCAGCAAGGCCGCGGGUGUGAAGAAGGCCUUCGGGUUGUAAAGCACUUUCAGCGGGGAGGCGUUACCCGCAGAUGAAGCACCGGCUAACUCCGAGCCAGCAGCCGCGGUAAUAG
rnacentral:rRNA from 1 species